rnacentral:rRNA from 1 species
UCCAGACUCCUACGGGAGGCAGCAGUGGGGAAUAUUGUACAAUGGGGGGAACCCUGAUGCAGCAACGCCGCGUGGGUGAAGAAGUACUUCGGUAUGUAAAGCCCUGUCAGCAGGGAAGAAAAUGACGGUACCCAAGGAGGAAGCACCGGCUAACUACGUGCCAGCAGCCGCGGUAAAACGUAGGGUGCAAGCGUUGUCCGGAAUUACUGGGUGUAAAGGGAGCGCAGGCGGAUUGACAAGUUGGGAGUGAAAACUACGGGCUCAACCCGUAACCUGCUUUCAAAACUGUCAGUCUUGAGUGGUGUAGAGGUAGGCGGAAUUCCCGGUGUAGCGGUGGAAUGCGUAGAUAUCGGGAGGAACACCAGUGGCGAAGGCGGCCUACUGGGCACUAACUGACGCUGAGGCUCGAAAGCAUGGGUAGCAAACAGGAUUAGAUACCCCAGUAGGA